rnacentral:rRNA from 1 species
GACGAACGCUGGCGGCGUGCCUAAUACAUGCAAGUAGAACGCUGAAGAGAGGAGCUUGCUCUUCUUGGAUGAGUUGCGAACGGGUGAGUAACGCGUAGGUAACCUGCCUGGUAGCGGGGGAUAACUAUGGGAAACGAUAGCUAAUACCGCAUAAAAUGGAUUAUCGCAUGAUAAACCAGUGAAAGGGGCAAAUGCAUCACUACCAGAUGGACCUGCGUUGUAUUAGCUAGUUGGUGGGGUAACGGCUCAACAAGGCGACGAUACAUAGCCGGCCUGAGAGGGUGGACCGCCAACAUGGGACCUGGGCCACGCCCCGACUUCUUCCGGGGGCAGCCAUAGGGGAACUUUGGCCAUUGGCGGAAGUCUGGCCGCACCACGCCGCGGGGGUGGAGAAAGGUUUCCGAUCGGUAAGCUCUGUUUUUUGAGAAGGACGAGUGUGAGAGUGAAAAGUUCACGCUGUGACGGUACCUAAACAGAAAGCGACGGCUAACUACGUG